rnacentral:rRNA from 1 species
UACGUAGGGAGCAAGCGUUGAUUCGGAUUUACUGGGCGUAAAGGGCGCGUAGGCGGCAGAUCAAGUCAGCUGUGAAAAUCUCCGAGCUUAACUCGGAACUGUCAGCUGAUACUGUUUUGCUAGAGUGCGGAAGGGGCAAUCGGAAUUCUUGGUGUAGCGGUGAAAUGACGUAGAUAUCAAGAGGAACACCUGAGGUGAAGACGGGUUGCUGGGCCGACACUGACGCUGAGUGCGCGAAAGCCAGGGGAGCAAACGGG